rnacentral:rRNA from 1 species
UACGGAGGGUGCAACGUUGCUCGGAAUUAUUGGGCGUAAAGCGCACGUAGGCGGUCCAGCAAGUCGGGUGUGAAAGCCCUCGGCUUAACCGAGGAAGUGCAUUCGAAACUACUGGACUUGAAUACUGGAGAGGAUCGCGGAAUUCCCGGUGUAGAGGUGAAAUUCGUAGAUAUUCGGAAGAACACCAGUGGCGAAGGCGGCUCACUGGACUGGUAUUGACGCUGAGGUGCGAAAGCGUGGGGAGCAAACAGG